rnacentral:lncRNA from 1 species
CGUGACUUUUUAGACGUCAGACAGCAAGGAGGGGAGAAACUCCUUCGGAGUUAGCUAAGGAGCUAACUCCUUUAGCUACCCCAGGCAGCUAAAUGACUAGUGAACCUCAAGUCUACUGAUCAGUCUGGCACCCUUGAGCGCAACAGCCUGUGGGCACUUCUGGAAAUCAUCAUCUGUAUUUUUAGCUCCUGCAGGCUGUGAUUUUCCUUACACUUGAUCCAUAAAACGAAAUCGUUGGCACAGAUUCACCAGCUAGGAAAGACCUGAGGAGGUGAGAAAAAGAGAGCUGAUGAAUGGCACCAGCAAGGGGAGAUAAAGGGAAGAAAUGAAUGACAUGACAAAGGAAUCUCUUCUGGACAUGUUUUUAAAGCUGUAACCUCGAUGCCUUUACUUCAUCUAAUCUGAUGACAUUCAAAGCAUCUUACUUGGCUUGAGAAAGACACGUGGGGUUAGACAAGAGGUAGUUAGCAAACUAACAGCAAAGUGACCCGGAUUGCUUGAUAA